UACGGGGGGGAGCAAGCGUUGUUCGGAUUUACUGGGCGUAAAGGGCGCGUAGGCGGCCAGCACAAGUCAGUUGUGAAAUCUCCGAGCUUAACUCGGAACGGUCAACUGAUACUGUGCGGCUAGAGUGCGGAAGGGGCAACUGGAAUUCUUGGUGUAGCGGUGAAAUGCGUAGAUAUCAAGAGGAACACCUGCGGCGAAGGCGGGUUGCUGGGCCGACACUGACGCUGAGGCGCGAAAGCCCAGGGGAGCGAACGGG
rnacentral:rRNA from 1 species